rnacentral:rRNA from 1 species
GACGAACGCUGGCGGCGUGCUUAACACAUGCAAGUCGAACGGAAAGGCCCUGCUUUUGUGGGGUGCUCGAGUGGCGAACGGGUGAGUAACACGUGAGUAACCUGCCCUUGACUUUGGGAUAACUUCAGGAAACUGGGGCGAAUACCGCAUAGGAGCUCCUGCUGCAUGGGGGGGGUUGGAAAGUGUCGGCGGUGGGGGAUGGACUCGCGGCUUAUCAGCUGGUUGGGGGGGUAGUGGCUGACCAGGGCUUUGAAGGGUAGCCGGCGUGAGAGGGUGACCGGCGACCUUGGGACUGCGGUACGGCCCAGAAGCCUACGGGAGGCAGCAGUGGGGAAUAUUGCACAAUGGGCGGAAGCCUGAUGCAGCAGCGCCGCGUGCGGGAUGACGGCCUUCGGGUUGUAAACCGCUUUCGCCUGUGACGAAGCGUGAGUGACGGUAAUGGGUAAAGAAGCACCGGCUAACUACGUG